rnacentral:lncRNA from 1 species
UAAAAUAGUUUCAUUAGCGCCUGAAGUAUUAUAAAAUAAAAAAUUCUAAAUAAAAUAGAAGAUAAUACUAUUUAAAAUUAAGAUGAGACCAUGAUACAGUUCUAGUAUAUAGUUAUAGUAUUUUUUAUAUAGUUUUUACUGUAUAGUUAUAGUAUUUGAAUAAAAAUGAAAUAGAAUUUCAUUAGUAAAUUGUGUUUCACGCAUAUACUUUUAAUAAAAUAAGUAAUUCAAAAAAAAAA